GCUGCUUGCCGCGGAGUCCCCCUCUCAAACCUCAGCUCCACCAACGUCGAAGGAUUCAAUGUGGCGGAUCAAGCUCUGCACUCUACCCAGACGCAAGAUGGCUCCAAAGAAACCACGCAUGAGACCCCUUACAAGAUUGUGACUUCAGCCUGAGAUGACGGAGGGGACCCCAAACCCGACCAAAGAGCUGACCUUCCUGCCCACGCCUGCCUCAACGCAUCUUAAUGUUUUACUGCUAUAUUUCAAGCAAACGUCACACUACCGUUUCUCGUUUUCUACUUUACAAAUGUGUACAGUUACUCAUGCCAUGAAAUUGUAUUUCUUUGUCUAUUGAAUUCUGGGAAUAGCUGUUGUGGCAUUACUAGCCUAAAUGUUACCUGUACC